rnacentral:lncRNA from 10 species
ACUGUCGCGAAGCUCCCGCCCAAGCCGACCACGUGCCGCGAGCCCGGCGGGGAGAGCCCACUCCCGCGCCCCUUCCGGGCCCACUACCCCGCCGGGCUGUGGCCCAUCGCCCCAGUGCCUGAUUGGCAUCCUCUGCUUCUGCAGAAAACAUGGCUACCAACAGCUUCUGUAUCCACCUGCGGAGGAGACUGACUGCUCUGUUAUUCCCCCAGCAUCUGUGAAGAGGCUCUGACUGGCUAAAGUGAAGGAGUCUGUAGCUUUAGGGGAAGACAGAGCCACAAGAUGGAAGGAGCUUGGAUGUCUGAACUAUUCCAUGGAGAAAAGCUGCAGCCAACGAAGAACACCUGCAAUGGACUCUUAACCUGGGGGUGACGACAACCACUGAAAUAUGCUGCAUCUUAGUCCAGGGAUUUUUAAAGUGUGGUUCCUGGAAGAGCUGGAUCAGAGUCAUCUGUGUUGAUGGUUUAACAUAAAGAUUUUCGAGCCCCAAGACUCAAGUAGGACAAGGAAUUUGAAUUUUUAAGCAGCUCACCUGACUUGUCUGUCCUCUAAUGUCUGAAGACAUCUGACCUCUGCUCUUUCAGUAAAAGCAACAAUGGUUUUA